rnacentral:rRNA from 1 species
CACGUAGGGGGCGAGCGUUGUCCGGAUUUAUUGGGCGUAAAGAGCUCGUAGGCGGUCUGUUGCGUCCGCUGUGAAAACUCGGGGCUUAACCCCGAGCCUGCAGUGGAUACGGGCAGACUAGAGUGCGGAAGGGGCAACUGGAAUUCUUGGUGUAGCGGUGGAAUGCGUAGAGAUCGGGAAGAACAUCAGUGGCGAAGGCGGCCUGCUGGGCUGUUGCUGACGCUGAGGCGCGACAGCGUGGGGAGCAAACAGG